UGUGGCCCUGCAGGAAUCGGU
rnacentral:siRNA from 1 species